UGGGUCGGCCAUACCACUCUGAAUGAGUCCAAUCUCGUCUGAUCUUGGAAGCUAAGCAGGGUCUGGCCUAGUUGGUACUUGGAUGGGAAACAAAACAAAACAAAACAGAGCAACAUGAAUGUAGGAAAGGGACUGCU
ensembl:rRNA 5S_rRNA 5S ribosomal RNA